AGAGUUUGAUCCUGGCUCAGAUUGAACGCUGGCGGUAUGCUUUACACAUGCGCGUCUAACGGCGGCACGGGGCAUCCUGGUGGCGAGUGGCGAACGGGUGAGUAACAUAUCGGAACAUAUCCGGAAGUGGGGGAUAACGUAACGAAAGUUACGCUAAUACCGCAGAUGCCCUGAGGGGGAAAGGGGGGGAUCGCAAGACCUCUCGCUUUCGGAAGGCCGAUGUCGGAUUAGCUAGAUGGUGAGGUAAAGGCUCACCAUGGCGACGAUCCGUAGCGGGUCUGACAGGACGACCCGCCACACUGGAACUGAUACACGGGCCAGACUCCUACGGGAGGCAUCAGUGGGGAAUUUUGGACAAUGGGCGCAAGCCUGAUCCAGCCAUACCGGGUGAGUGAAUAAGGCCUUCGGGUUGUAAAGCUCUUUCAUCCGGAAAGAAAUUGCUUCUAUUAAUACUAGGGGUAGAUGACGGUACCGGAAGAAGAAGCACCGGCUAACUACGUGCCAGCAGCCGCGGUAAUACGUAGGGUGCGAGCGUUAAUCGGAAUUACUGGGCGUAAAGCGUGCGCAAGCGGUUUGGUAAGACAGAUGUGAAAUCCCCGGGCUUAACCUGGGAACUGCAUUUGUGACUGCCAGACUAGAGUGUAUGCAGAGGGGGGUAGAAUUCCACGUGUACAGUGAAAUGCGUACAGAUGUGGAGGAAUACCGAUGGCGAAGGCAGCCCCGUGGGCUAACACUGACGCUCAUGCACGAAAGCGUGGGGAGCAAACAGGAUUAGAUACCCUGGUAGUCCACGCCCUAAACGAUGUCAACUAGGUGUUGGGGAAGGAGACUUCUUUAGUACCGCAGCUAACGCGUGAAGUUGACCGCCUGGGGAGUACGGUCGCAAGAUUAAAACUCAAAGGAAUUGACGGGGACCCGCACAAGCGGUGGAUUAUGUGGAUUAAUUCGAUGCAACGCGAAAAACCUUACCUACCCUUGACAUGUCAGGAAGAUUCCAGAGAUGGGAUUGUGCCCGAAAGGGAACCGUAACACAGGUGUUGCAUGGCUGUCGUCAGCUCGUGUCGUGAGAUGUUGGGUUAAGUCCCGCAACGAGCGCAACCCUUAUCCCCAGUAUGCCAUCAUUUAGUUGGGCACUCUGGUGAAACCGCCUCGGAUAACGGGGAGGAAGGUGGGGAUGACGUCAAGUCCUCAUGGCCUUUAUGUCCAGGGCUACACACGUGCUACAAUGGCCGGUACAAACCGUCGCAAACCCGUGAGGGGGAGCUUAUCGGAAAAAGCCGGCCUCAGUUGGGAUCGCAGUGUGCAUCUCGAAUGCGAGAUGCGGGUAUCGAUAGUUAUCCCGGAUCAGGUUGCCCCGGUGAAUACGUUCCCGGGCCUUGUACACACCGCCCGUCACAUCACGAGAGUGGGUUGCACUAGAAGCCGGUGAGCCGACCGCGAGGGGGCAACCGUCCAAGGUGUAAUUCAUGAUUGGGGUGAAGUCGUAACGAGGUG
rnacentral:rRNA from 1 species